ACCCGGGAGGUGGAGGUUGCAGUGAGCCAAGAUCACGCCACUGCACUCCAGCCUUGGCAACAAAACUCUGUCGCAAAAAAAAAAAAAAAAAAAAAAUCAGAUCUCGUGAGACUUAUUCACUAUCACGAGAACAGCAUGAAAACCGCCCCCAUGAUCCAGUCACGGAUCAUGGCUCAUGAUCCAGUCAUGAGCCAGCUGUGUCCCUGGGGACUGCAAUUCAAGAUGAGAUUUGAGUGGGGACACAAGGCUAACCAUAAUAUUUGCCAAGGUUAAGGAUGAGCCCGUGACGCAGCCUCAGGAGGUCCUGACCACAUGUGCCCAGGGUGGUCGGGGCACAGCUUGGUUUUAUACAUUUUAGGGAGACGUGAGACAUCAAUCAGUAGGUGUAAGAUGCACAUUGGUUUGGUCUGGAAAGAUGGGACAACUCAAAGUGGGGGCUUCCAGGUCACAGGCAGAUAAGAGACAAACAGUUGCAUUCUUUUGAGUCUGGGAUUAGCCCUUCUUUCACCAAAUACACAAUUUACAUGUGAAAGGGGGGUAGAGGAACAGUCACUUUUGCCUUAGUCUGGCUUAGUGAAUCUGCAUUUUUUUCUUAUUUUUUAGAGACAGGGCCUUGCUACAUGGCCCAGGAUGGUCUCAAACUGCUGGACUCAAGCAAUCCUCCUGCCUCAGUUUCCUAAAGUGCUGGUAUUACAGGUGGUUUCAUCACUUCCAAGAGGGUAGAAGACAUGUCCUACUCUGGCGGCAAUUCCUGCGGGUGGCUGAAGGACUGAAUCUGCACAGAGCGGCUGUCAGAGGCCAGUGCGUUCUCUGCUCCCUGUGUUCCUAUCACCCAACUCUCCUGUAAGCCAGGCAAUAAGAGACGGGAGAAAAACAUCCUCAUGCAAAGCAGCCGGACCCAAAAUGAAGAAAUGAAAAGAUCAGUGGAUCGUUAAGACCCGAAGUCAAAUUUUAAACAUACCCCUGACUUUGUGGUUUUAAACUUGCCUGUUUGAGACAUGUAAAUACUCACUGAUUUAUAAAAACACCAGUCAUCA